CUUGACAUCCAGAGAAUUUAGCAGAGAUGCUUUAGUGCCUUCGGGAACUCUGAGACAGGUGCUGCAUGGCUGUCGUCAGCUCGUGUUGUGAAAUGUUGGGUUAAGUCCGCAACGAGCGCAACCCUUAUCCUUUGUUGCCAGCACGUAAUGGUGGGAAACUCAAAGGAGACUACCGGUGAUAAACCGGAGGAAGGUGGGGAUGACGUCAAGUCAUCAUGGCCCUUACGAGUAGGGCUACACACGUGCUACAAUGGCGCAUACAAAGAGAAGCGACCUCGCGAGAGCAAGCGGACCUCAUAAAGUGCGUCGUAGUCCGGAUUGGAGUCUGCAACUCGACUCCAUGAAGUCGGAAUCGCUAGUAAUCGUAAAUCAGAAUGUUACGGUGAAUACGUUCCCGGGCCUUGUACACACCGCCCGUCACACCAUGGGAGUGGGUUGCAAAAGAAGUAGAUAGCUUAACCUUCGGGAGGGCGUUUACCACUUUGUGAUUCAUGACUGGGGUGAAGUCGUAACAAGGUAGGCGUAGUGCU
rnacentral:rRNA from 1 species